rnacentral:rRNA from 1 species
GGUAACGGCUCACCAUGGCGACGAUAGGUAGGGGGCCUGAGAGGGUUGUCCCCCACACUGGUACUGAGACACGGACCAGACUCCUACGGGAGGCAGCAGUGAGGAAUAUUGCGCAAUGGAGGAAACUCUGACGCAGCCAUGCCGCGUGAAGGAAGAAUGUCCUACGGAUUGUAAACUUCUUUUAUUUGGGAAGAAACCUUUCUACGUGUAGAAAGCUGACGGUACCGAACGAAUAAGGACCGGCUAACUCCGUGCCAGCAGCCGCGGUAAUACGGAGGGUCCGAGCGUUAUCCGGAAUCAUUGGGUUUAAAGGGUUCGCAGGCGGUUCAUUAAGUCAGUGGGGAAAUCUCUCGGCUCACUCGAGAAACUGCCAUUGAUACUGAUGGACUUGAAUAUAGUUGGAGUAGGCGGAAUGUGUAGUGUAGCGGUGAAAUGCUUAGAUAUUACUCAGAACACCGAUAGCGAAGCAGCUUACUAAACUAUUAUUGACGCUCAUGAACGAAAGCGUGGGAGCGAACAGGAUUAGAUACCCUGGUAGUCCACGCCG